CCUACGGGAGGCAGCAGUGAGGAAUAUUGGUCAAUGGGCUUACGCCUGAACCAGCCAAGCCGCGUGAGUGAAGACUGCCCUAUGGGUUGUAAACCUCUUUUGUCAGGGAGCAACGCCGGCUACGUGUAGCCGGACUGAGAGUACCUGAAGAAAAAGCAUCGGCCAACUCCGUGCCAGCAGCCGCGGUAAUACGGAGGAGGCGAGCGUUAUCCGGAUUUAUUGGGUUUAACGGGUGCGUAGGCGGAAUGCCAAGUAAGAGGUAAAAUCACGGGGCGCACCCUCGCUGCGCCGUUUAAACUGGCGUUCUUGAGUGGGCGAGAGGUAUGCGGAAGGCGUGGUGUAGCGGUGAAAUGCGUAGAUAUCACGCAGAACUCCGGUUGCGAAGGCAGCAUACCGGCGCCCAACUGACGCUGAAGCACGAAAGCGUGGGUAUCGAACAGGAUUAGAUACCCCUGUAGUC
rnacentral:rRNA from 1 species